rnacentral:tRNA from 1 species
GCAGGACAUAGCUCAAUUGGCUAGAGCACGUAAACUUUGUAGUAUUGUUAUAAAUAUGUUACAUACAGCAAUUAUUUCUAAUGCGCUUUUAACGCCGUGGUUAUCGGUUCGAGUCCGGUUGUCCUGCA